rnacentral:rRNA from 1 species
UGCCUACGGGACGCAGCAGUGGGGAAUAUUGCACAAUGGGCGAAAGCCUGAUGCAGCAACGCCGCGUGAAGGAAGACGGUUUUCGGAUUGUAAACUUCUGUUCUUAGUGAAGAAUAAUGACGGUAACUAAGGAGCAAGCCACGGCUAACUACGUGCCAGCAGCCGCGGUAAUACGGAGGAUGCGAGCGUUAUCCGGAUUUAUUGGGUUUAAAGGGUGCGUAGGCGGAAUGCCAAGUCAGCGGUAAAAUCGCGGGGCUCAACCUCGCUCCGCCGUUGAAACUGGCGUUCUUGAGUGGGCGAGAAGU